rnacentral:lncRNA from 1 species
AGAGAAGCCGUGAAGGAGGUGACGUGUGAACGCCGUAGAGAGAAGAAGUAAGACUCCUGAACAGCGGACAGCGAUCGCUUCAGAGAUUCAGAGGGUCUUUUAAGAGAGAGAGUUCUUGUGAGGAAAACUUUCUGUGAGAAAAAAAUUAGGUGUACGAGGGUUGAGGGUGAGAUCUCCUCUUGUAAAUUUUUUUUUUAUAGUAAAGUUUGCAUGUUCCGUGGAGGCAAGCUCUUUUGUGGCUGAUCUACGUAUUUUGAUUAUUUUUGUUUCAUUUUUUUUUCUGCUGCAUCGCGCAGUAUCGAAAAGAUCUUG